rnacentral:rRNA from 1 species
GACGAACGCUGGCGGCGUGCCUAAUACAUGCAAGUAGAACGCAGUUGCGAACGGGUGGGUAACGCGUAGGUAACUGCCUCAUAGCGGGGGAUAACUAUUGGAAACGAUAGCUAAUACCGCAUACUUUGAGAUGGACCUGCGUUGUAUUAGCUAGUUGGGGGGGUAAAGGCUCACCAAGGCGACGAUACAUAGCCGACCUGAGAGGGUGGUCGGCCACACUGGGACUGGGACCAGGCCCCGACUCCUACGGGGGGCAGCAGUAGGGAAUCAUCGGCAAUGGGCGGAAGUCUGACCGAGCAACGCCGGGGGAGUGAAGAAGGGUUUCGGAUCGUAAAACUCUGUUGUUAGAGAAGCGGUACCUAACCAGAAAGGGACGGCUAACUACGUGCCAGCAGCCGCGGUAAUAC